CCGGAGCUUGCUCCACCGGAAAAAGAGGAGAGGCGAACGGGUGAGUAACACGUGGGUAACCUGCCCAUCAGAAGGGGAUAACACUUGGAAACAGGUGCUAAUACCGUAUAACAAUCGAAACCGCAUGGUUUUGAUUUGAAAGGCGCUUUCGGGCGUCGCUGAUGGAUGGACCCGCGGUGCAUUAGCUAGUUGGUGAGGUAACGGCUCACCAAGGCCACGAUGCAUAGCCGACCUGAGAGGGUGAUCGGCCACAUUGGGACUGAGACACGGCCCAAACUCCUACGGGAGGCAGCAGUAGGGAAUCUUCGGCAAUGGACGAAAGUCUGACCGAGCAACGCCGCGUGAGUGAAGAAGGUUUUCGGAUCGUAAAACUCUGUUGUUAGAGAAGAACAAGGAUGAGAGUAACUGUUCAUCCCUUGACGGUAUCUAACCAGAAAGCCACGGCUAACUACGUGCCAGCAGCCGCGGUAAUACGUAGGUGGCAAGCGUUGUCCGGAUUUAUUGGGCGUAAAGCGAGCGCAGGCGGUUUCUUAAGUCUGAUGUGAAAGCCCCCGGCUCAACCGGGGAGGGUCAUUGGAAACUGGGAGACUUGAGUGCAGAAGAGGAGAGUGGAAUUCCAUGUGUAGCGGUGAAAUGCGUAGAUAUAUGGAGGAACACCAGUG
rnacentral:rRNA from 1 species